AUGGAGCCCAAGCCAGGUAGUGACCUCCGACCAAAUAUGUUGCGUUUAUCUAUAGUGACAAAUGAGGUGCACCACAGACUCCUGGAGAUUGCUUACAUAGGGAGCACAACCCAUGGUUUGGCAAUUUACGACGAAGCAAGUAUUGGCGGUCCAGACUCUAUCCUGCAUGAUAAGCCAGGUAAAGAAAUUGCACCUGGGGGUGGGGGAGCCCAGGCCCUCCACACUGUGGGAACCAUGGUCGUGGAGGCCGACCCAACAAAUUGCACCUUGUAUGCCGAGGUCAUCGAGUACUCCCCAUUGGCAAUGAAUUUCCACGUAACGGAGUCCAGGAUUCCUUGGUUGAGGUGA
rnacentral:rRNA from 1 species